rnacentral:rRNA from 1 species
GACGAACGCUGGCGGCGUGCCUAAUACAUGCAAGUCGAACGCUUCUUUUUCCACCGGAGCUUGCUCCACCGGAAAAAGAGGAGUGGCGAACGGGUGAGUAACACGUGGGUAACCUGCCCAUCAGAAGGGGAUAACACUUGGAAACAGGUGCUAAUACCGUAUAACAAUCGAAACCGCAUGGUUUUGAUUUGAAAGGCGCUUUCGGGUGUCGCUGAUGGAUGGACCCGCGGUGCAUUAGCUAGUUGGUGAGGUAACGGCUCACCAAGGCCACGAUGCAUAGCCGACCUGAGAGGGUGAUCGGCCACAUUGGGCCUGAGACACGGACCAAACUCCUACGGGAGGCAGCAGUAGGGAAUCUUCGGCAAUGGACGAAAGUCUGACCGAGCAACGCCGCGUGAGUGAAGAAGGUUUUCGGAUCGUAAAACUCUGUUGUUAGAGAAGAACAAGGAUGAGAGUAACUGUUCAUCCCUUGACGGUAUCUAACCAGAAAGCCACGGCUAACUACGUGCCAGCCGCCGCGGUAA